GAUGAACGCUAGCGGCAGGCUUAAUACAUGCAAGUCGAGGGGCAGCACAGGUAGCAAUACUGGGUGGCGACCGGCAAACGGGUGCGGAACACGUACACAACUUACCUUAGAGUGGGGGAUAGCCCAGGGGAACUUGGAUUAAUACCCCAUAAAACAGGGGGCCCGCAUGGGCAUAUUGUUAAAGAUUUAUCGCUUUAAGAUGGGUGUGCGUAUGAUUAGGUAGUUGGUAGGGGAAAGGCCUACCAAGCCGACGAUCAUUAACUGGUGUGAGAGAACGACCAGUAACACGGGCACUGAGACACGGGCCCGACUCCUACGGGAGGCAGCAGUAAGGAAUAUUGGUCAAUGGACGGAAGUCUGAACCAGCCAUGCCGCGUGAAGGAUGAAGGUCCUCUGGAUUGUAAACUUCUUUUAUAGGGGGCGAAAAAGGGCCAUUCUUAGCUAUUUGACAGUACCAGAGGAAUAAGCACCGGCUAACUCCGUGCCAGCAGCCGCCGCAGUAA
rnacentral:rRNA from 1 species